rnacentral:rRNA from 1 species
GCUUACACAUGCAGUCGANGAUGAAGCCCAGCUUGCUGGGUGGAUUAGUGGCGAACGGGUGAGUAACACGUGAGUAACCUGCCCUUAACUCUGGGAUAAGCCUGGGAAACUGGGUCUAAUACCGGAUAGGAGCGCCUACCGCAUGGUGGGUGUUGGAAAGAUUUAUCGGUUUUGGAUGGACUCGCGGCCUAUCAGCUUGUUGGUGAGGUAAUGGCUCACCAAGGCGACGACGGGUAGCCGGCCUGAGAGGGUGACCGGCCACACUGGGACUGAGACACGGCCCAGACUCCUACGGGAGGCAGCAGUGGGGAAUAUUGCACAAUGGGCGCAAGCCUGAUGCAGCGACGCCGCGUGAGGGAUGACGGCCUUCGGGUUGUAAACCUCUUUCAGUAGGGAAGAAGCGAAAGUGACGGUACCUGCAGAAGAAGCACCGGCUAACUACGUGCCAGCAGCGGCGGUAAUAAA